UACGGAGGAUGCAAGUGUUAUCCGGAAUCACUGGGCGUAAAGCGUCUGUAGGUGGUUUAAAAAGUCCACUGUUAAAGAUUGAAGCUUAACUUCAAAAAUGCCGUGGAAACUUUUAAACUUGAGUAUGAUAGGGGUAGAGGGAAUUUCCAGUGGAGCGGUGAAAUGCGUAGAUAUUGGAAAGACCACCAAUGGCGAAGGCACUCUACUGGGCCAUUACUGACACUGAGAGACGAAAGCUAGGGGAGCAAAUGGG
rnacentral:rRNA from 1 species